rnacentral:rRNA from 1 species
GACGAACGCUGGCGGCGUGCUUAACACAUGCAAGUCGAACGGAAAGGCCCUGCUUUUGUGGGGUGCUCGAGUGGCGAACGGGUGAGUAGCACGUGAGUAACCUGCCCUUGACUUUGGGAUAACUUCAGGAAACUGGGGCUAAUACCGGAUAGGAGCUCCUGCUGCAUGGUGGGGGUUGGAAAGUUUCGGCGGUUGGGGAUGGACUCGCGGCUUAUCAGCUUGUUGGUGGGGUAGUGGCUUACCAAGGCUUUGACGGGUAGCCGGCCUGAGAGGGUGACCGGCCACAUUGGGACUGAGAGACGGCCCAGACUCCUACGGGAGGCAGCAGUGGGGAAUAUUGCACAAUGGGCGGAAGCCUGAUGCAGCAACGCCGCGUGCGGGAUGACGGCCUUCGGGUUGUAAACCGCUUUCGCCUGUGACGAAGCGUGAGUGACGGUAAUGGGUAAAGAAGCACCGGCUAACUACGU